rnacentral:rRNA from 1 species
UGCCAGCAGCCGCGGUAACACGGGGGGCGCAAGCGUUAUUCGGAAUUAUUGGGCGUAAAGGGCGCGUAGGCGGCGCGAUACGGUCUGGGUGAAAUCCCUCGGCUCAGCCGAGGAAUUGCCUGGGCAACGGUCGUGCUAGACAGCAUCAGGGGAAGGUGGAACUCGCGGUGGAGCGGUGAAAUGCGUAGAUAUCGCGAGGAACGCCGGUGGCGAAAGCGACCUUCUGGGGUGCUUGUGACGCUGAGGCGCGAAAGCUAGGGGAGCGAACGGGAUUAGAUA